rnacentral:rRNA from 1 species
AGGACAAACGCUGGCGGCGUGCAUAAAACAUGCAAGUCGGACGAACAAAAUCCCGCAAGGGAUUAGUUAGUGGCGAACGGCUGAGUAACACGUAGGUGACCUGCCCCGAAGUGGGGGACAACUCGCCGAAAGGCGAGCUAAUACCGCAUGUGACCACCGGUUCGUUCCGGUGCUCAAAGCAGUAAUGCGCUUCGGGAGGGGCCUGCGGCGGAUUAGCUAGUUGGUGGGGUAAUGGCCUACCAAGGCUUCGAUCCGUAGC